AGCAGCCGCGGUAAUUCCAGCUCCAAUAGCGUAUAUUAAAGUUGUUGCAGUUAAAAAGCUCGUAGUUGAAUUUCGGGAUCAAUGUGUUGGUCGUGCCUUGGUACGUACUGGCAUUAUCGAUUCCUACCUUCUGAAGAACCUCGAUGUCAUUAAUUUGGUGUCUUGGGGAAUCAGGACUGUUACUUUGAAAAAAUUAGAGUGUUUAAAGCAGGCUCGCGCUUGAAUACAUUAGCAUGGAAUAAUGAAAUAGGACGUUUGAUUCUAUUUUGUUGGUUUCUAGGAUCGAUGUAAUGAUUAAUAGGGAUAGUUGGGGGCAUUAGUAUUCAAUUGUCAGAGGUGAAAUUCUUGGAUUUAUUGAAGACUAACUACUGCGAAAGCAUUUGCCAAGGAUGUUUUCAUUAAUCAAGAACGAAAGUUAGGGGAUCGAAGACGAUCAGAUACCGUCGUAGUCUUAACCAUAAACCAUGCCGACUAGGGAUCGGAUGAUGUUAAUUUUUUAAUGACUCAUUCGGCGCCUUACG
rnacentral:rRNA from 1 species